UUUUACUAUAUUUUUACAGUAAGAAUUACAGUAAAGUUUUUGCCAUAAAUUUAACAGGAUUUUUUUUAUAGUUCAUCUUAAUUUUAUUUGUAUUUUUUUUUAUAAAUUUAAAGUAAAAAGUACUUUUUAUGAAUUUCAUUAAUUAUUAUUUAAUAAAUAUCAUUAUGGAGUAAAUAUAAUUUGAAAUAAACUUGUCACAAAAAGGUAAAAUCAUAUGACUGACAGAAGGACAUUCUUCAGGGCUCCUCUCUAUGACUUUAAGAGAAACAUAUUUUUCCAAUAUUAAAAAUUAUUAAUAUUUCAUUAUUCUUAUAAGAAACAAUAAUAAAAGAUUUUGCCAGAUUAAAGGGAUACUCCACCCCAAAGUGAAAAUUUUGUCAUUAAUCACUUACCCCCAUGUCGUUCCAAACUCGUAAAAGCUCACUUCGUCUUCGGAACACAAUUUAAGAUAUUUUGGAUGAAAACUUAAAGAAUGUCCCAUAGAUUGCCAAGUAAAUAACAGUGUCAAGGUCCAUAAAAGGUAUGAAAGUCAUCAUCAGAAUACUCCAUCUGCCAUCAGAUGAGCAAUCUGGGUUAUAUGAAGCAUCAGGAACACCUUUUUGUAAGCGAAGAAAACAAAAAUUCCUUUGUCAACAGUCUCCUCUGUGUCUCUCCAUAUCACUGUAUGCUGUGUAUGCUCUUUUAUGUCAUCCGCACCACAAGGAUGCACUGUUUUAUUUCAAAUCAAAGCUAAAUACAUGUAGAAACAGCGCAUCGUUGUGGUGCGGAUGACACAGAAGGGGUAAGGGAUUAAUGACAAAAUUUUCAUUAUGGGGUGGAGUUUUUCUUUUUUCUUCAGUAUGCUAUCAGGAUAUUUCCACUUUUGAUUUCUUUAAUUCAGACAUUAAAAACAUGAACGAAUCAUUGAACGAGGUUAGCAAAACACUGACUCAGUGAUUCAGUCUGAAUCAUUCAAACAGCUCACUCAUGGAGUGAAUCGUUCGGCAUGGACUGAGAACCACUCUGAACUGCAGGUAAUAACACAUUUUAAUGUAUUUUUUAAUAAAUGAGUUAGACAGGAGCUUAAUUUACAUUGACUCCCCUCAACAAAUUACAACACACAAGGAUGCAGAGCGAACAAGGGUUUGAGAUGAUGGACGAGCAGGAAGAGACUGAGGAAGGGAGAGAGGGAGAGAAGAAAUAGCGAACAGGAUCUGUAAUAAUUUGCACAUUCAUACAUCAGGGCUUAUGCCAAUUUGUCAGAUCAGUGGACAGACGCUGAGCACAGUUCAUCAACCUGCUCCAUUCCAAUGAAGACACAGCUCGCAGCGCCAAGCGAGACCAUCACACACUCCACUGGGCCUACAGUCAACCUGUUCACAAACCAGCACAUCUGCAAAGCACAGCGCUGAUGACACAAGAGAACCAAACAGAAGGAGAGAGAGAACAUCAGAUAAGAGGGGAUUUGUCCUACCCUGCAACAGUAAUUUACCAAACUGAUUCUCCCGAAGCUCAUCAAUCCAGAUCUGUGUGAGAUUAGAUGACUCAGCCAGAGCCCGGCUUUAACACGGCCAAUCGCAGGCCGUCUCUCUGUGCUGACUCUAGGCUACCUCUUCUAAUCAAACUCAAGAGAGAAAGAGGAAAAAAACUAUGUGAUUAAACCGAACACCAUUAUUCUGGCGUUUCCCUUCAGGAAAGCGGCAGACUGUUGAGUGUGUGAUCUGAAGAUCUGCUGUCUGUAAUCGCUUGCACUCGCACGUCUUCCUCUUUUGAUCCUGGUUACGUUCGAUGGUUAGUUCCACCCUGCAGGUAGUCAAGUACCCAUAAUGCCCAUCAAAACCGUCUCUGCAAUCCUUUCUGCGUGCCGGAUUUCAGUCUCGCUGCAUACAUGAGAUUACCUCCCUUUUUUCUUCUCUCAGUCAAUGUCAAAUUCUUCCUGAGGCAGAGAGUCGCUCAUUGACAAACAGAUCUGGACAUGUUGUUUCAAACAAAAACGACCAGAAACCAGGCCCUCAGAUAUAUUCUCCAAUAAGAGAAAGCAUCAUUUUCUGAUGCUGGUGUUAUGUGAUUGCUUGCAUGUCGCUAUGUUGGUAUAGUGCUACCUGAAGGUUCACAGUGUUAAGCAGUAGUGUCACUACAAACAGUGAAGCUAGAAGUUGAACUACAUUUUUAUAAAGCAAGGUGUUAGCUCUGCUUGUUUUUAAACUAUGUAACUUAUAUUAAAAAUUGUCCUGGCUCUUCCAAGCUUUAUAAUGGCAGUGGGUGGGUGUUUCUGUUCAACAGUCUAAAAGAAGUCCAAUGAAGCGCAUCCAUCCAUAAUAAAAAGUGCCUCACACGGCUCUGGCGGUGAAUAAAGGCCUCCUGUAGCGAAUCAAUGCAUUCUUGUAAGAAACAUCUCCAUAUUUAAAAUGUUUAAUAUCCUCUGACAUUUUAAUAUCCACUUUACAAAUCCUCAUUUUGUACUUCUAAUUCGUGAGCGAUGUUUUGUGUUGCUCUCUUUUCUCUGCUUUCAUGUUCAUCACUUCUCACCGGUGCAUGCACUUUGUCAUCUGCCCGGAAUGGCUUUCACAUAUGAUAGUUAACGCAAGCUACAGAAAAGGGGUUAUAACGUUUUAAAUAUUGAUAUGUUCCUUACAAGAACGCAUCGAUUCACAACAGGAGGCCUUUAAUCACCCCCUUGAGCCAUGUGAGGUAGUUUUUAUUACGGAUGGAUGCACUUUAUUUAGACUUCACCCCCUUGAGCCAUGUGAGGUUAGUUUUUAUUACGGAGUGGAUGCACUUUAUUAGACUUCUUAUGGACUGUUGACAGAACACCCCCCCCCCACUGCCAUUAUAAAGCUUGGAAGUCAGGACCAUUUUUAAUAUAACUCUGACUGGAUUCGUCUGAAAGAAGAAAGUCAUAUACACCUAGGUCGGCUUCAGGGUGAGUAAAUCAUGGGCUAAUUUUCAUUUUUGGGUGAACCAUCCCUUUAAAGUCACAACAUAUCAGAAAUAGUGACAGAUCUUUCAUAUGAUGAUGUAUAGCUGAGAGAAACUGCUUAUUGAAAGAUAAAACAAUAAAUGGGAAUAAUGUAAAAAGGGGCGGAGUUUAAAGGCCUUACAACAACAAAGAAAACCACAGUAAUAACUUUUCAGUUUCUAAAUCAACAGACAAUAAUGCUCGGUUUAUUAAAAUACACAGUGCAGUAAUAUCGUUUGGCACUUUAAAUUCGGGGUGGACUUCUAAACUAC
rnacentral:lncRNA from 1 species